rnacentral:misc_RNA from 1 species
CAACCAACAAGCCCAGGCUUGGUAUUGGAUGCCACUAUAUUAGGUGCAUCUUAAAAUUAAUAGCAGUGCUCCUAGCUUCAAGUGUAGUAAUUUUCUCGCUUCUGGAGUCUAGAUGUUGUACACUGUCUGAACCCUUAAAUUAUCGUG